UACGUAGGGUGCAAGCGUUGUCCGGAAUUAUUGGGCGUAAAGGGCUCGUAGGCGGUCUGUCACGUCUGGAGUGAAAACUCGGGGCUUAACCCCGAGCCUGCUUCCGAUACGGGCAGACUAGAGGUAUGCAGGGGAGAAUGGAAUUCCUGGUGUAGCGGUGAAAUGCGCAGAUAUCAGGAGGAACACCGGUGGCGAAGGCGGUUCUCUGGGCAUUACCUGACGCUGAGGAGCGAAAGUGUGGGGAGCGAACAGG
rnacentral:rRNA from 1 species